UGGGGAAUCUUGCGCAAUGGCCGAAAGGCUGACGCAGCGACGCCGCGUGUGGGGUGACGGUCUUCGGAUUGUAAACCACUGUCGGGAGGGACGAAGUUCUGACGGUACCUCCAAAGGAAGCACCGGCUAACUCUGUGCCAGCAGCCGCGGUAAUACAGAGGGUGCGAGCGUUGUCCGGAAUCACUGGGCGUAAAGGGCGCGUAGGAGGCCUGGUAAGUCGGGGGUGAAGCGCUGCGGCUCAACCGCAGCAUUGCCUUCGAGACUGUCAGGCUGGGGCACGGUAGAGGCUGGUGGAAUUCCCGGUGUAGCGGUGGAAUGCGUAGAGAUCGGGAAGAACAUCGGUGGCGAAGGCGGCCAGCUGGGCCGUUGCUGACGCUGAGGCGCGACAGCGUGGGGAGCAAACA
rnacentral:rRNA from 1 species